GGAGGAGGCGAGGCGGCACCCCGGCAUUUUGGCAUCAGUUGAUAGCAUUUUGAAUGAAAUUUUGUGGAACUGGACAAAUUAUAUCUAUUUACACGUGAAGAAUACCUGCCAUAAAGAAGUCUCAUAUAGACAUCUCUGAACUGCUUUUAGAAGAGGGCAAAGCUGGUAGAGGCCUGAAACACAUUCUUAACAUGGCUGCAUCAAAAGAAGCGUGACCAGCAGGUCAAAGGAGGCGGUCCUGCCCCUCUACUCUGCUCUUGUGAGACCUCACUUGGAGUACUGCAUACAGUCCUGGUGUCCUCAACAUAAAAAGGACAUGGAGCUGUUGGAGCGAGUCCAGAGGAGGCCCACGAGGAUGAUAAGAGGGCUGGAGCACCUCCUGUAUGAAGACAGGCUGAGAAAGUUGGGGCUGUUCAGCCUGGAGAAGAGAAGGCUGCGUGGAGACCUCAUAGCAGCCUUCCAGUAUCUGAAGGGGGUCUAUAAGGAUGCUGGGGAAGCACUCUUCCUUAGGGAGUGUAGUGGUAGGACAAGGGAUAAUGGGUUCAAACUUAAACAGGGGAAGUUUAGAUUAGAUUUAAGGAAGAAGUUCUUUACAGUGAGGGUGGUGAAGCACUGGAAUGGGUUGCCCAGGGAGGUUGUGGAUGCUCCAUCCCUGGUGGUGUUCAAGGCCAGGUUGGACAGAGCCCUGGACCACGUGGUUUAGGGCAAGGUGUCCCUGCCCAUGGCAGGGGGGUUGGAACUAGAUGAUUUUAAGGUCCUUUCCAACCCUUACGAUUCUAUUAUUCUAUGAUUCUAUGGUAGAAAUAGUGCAAGUUUGCCACAUAGAAGAAAUUAAAAAGUAUUAUUUCAUUUCAUAUUAGAUUCUUGUUGGUGAAUUGUGCUAAAUAAUUACAAGAAGGAAAAAUAUAUUACCUCCAUGUGGCUUACCAGGUAAAAAAUAAUUAUCAGUAGUCACCAUCAAGUUGUAAGCUUAGAGCAAGUAACUAUACAAGUGUUGUAUUCAUCCAUCUGCAGACUUCCUUGGCUUUUUAUUUCACCUGUACCAUUGAAAGCCUCAUCUGAUAUUUACAUUGCUUCUCACAACAAAAAUUCCUCAGUGAAUUGAUUAUGUGGUGCUAUUAUUUGCUGCUGUGAACUAAAGUCAAUGCAAAGAACAUAACUUCAUAUUACUUGUCAUACAGCAUUCAUUAUUACAUUCUUCCUACUCGCUGUUGUAGUCCAGUCUUAACACCAGCUUCUAAAUAAUUUGAAUACUUAAAUUUAGGAUGAUAGCUAAUGGUCGCAUUACUGUAUUACAUUCAGAGAAUGAGCUCUCAAAAUUCUAUAGGAAAGUUAUUCUCAAUUAUUGAAAAAAUAGGGUUUUUAUUAUUAUUUCACUGUCAUUUAUUUAAAAGGAUCUGCCCAGACAUAUAUACUACCUAUAAAUUAAUAACAGGUAAACAUAACAAUGUUUGUGCAUCCCAUUAACAAUUUAAAAUGAGAGGCACCUACCUGUAUGUUAUACCAGCCCUUAAAAGAGACAGAAAUGGAAAAGCACAAUACAUGUUUUCAUUCAUUCUAUAGAAAAAAAAUCAGAUGACAGCAAGCAAUCUCUAAGAAAACAUUGGUGCCAGGUGUAUUUUUACUGUAAUAUUACAUGCUGUCCAUAAUUUGUGAAGCUGAAUACCAACAUGUAGCUGUCAGGGAAGUUAACAUCUGAAUGAAGAGGGCAAAGAGGUCUCUUCACUGUUUUCAACAGGGUACACACAAACACUUGUCUUUGCAUUUAGAAAGCUGAUCUUAGUACACAGUUGUAAACAGCAGCAUGAGAGGUGGCUACAAUUUACCAUAUAUUUUGUGAAAAUUGCUCGAGAAAUACAUUUUUAAAACAGUACUGUCUGCAUGAAGAUCUUUAAUUCCUGCCUUUUAAAGCUGCAUUAAAAUACUCCUUGAAGAAGAACAAGGAACGAGUCUCAGAAUAACUGACUGUGCAACUAGCUUAGAUUUAUGGGUCAAAAGACACAUUCUCCCUCGACGUCAAAGGGAACAGGAUUAGGUUCUAAAGUUUUACUCUGAAACUUGCAGUUCAUUUUCAGGACUGUAAAGGUGUGGGUUUGUCAGGGGAAUUCAGAGAUCUUUGCCCCUCUCCGCACUGCCACCAGCUUUGUCCAGUGCAGUGUAUGCUCUGUAGUGUGCCACAGUCCUGUCUGUGUGACUGCAUAGCUCCUCCCAUACAGAUGAGGACUAGCUCCACCCCAUGACUAAGGCCUGGAACAGAAAUAAGGUUUAAAGUAUCUUGAUAUGUGUCCAGUUAAUGUUCUGAAAUACUUGAUUUAUCCCUUUUCGUGGCCAUUUCAGACAUAAUGAGAUGAACCCCAUGCAUACUAAAAUAUUUUUUAGGAACAUAAUGAGCCUCCAUUCUGAAAUAAAUUGCUCUGAGUAGACCUUUGAAGACAAAAGGAACAUAAGGAACCACUCGUCUGAAUGCAGUUGAAGAAUUUGAUCUUUCCUUUUAAAAAAAUGGGUUACAGUAAUACCUAAUGGAAUAAAAAAUAUUUAAUUUCCCUUUAAGGAAAAAAAAAAAAAAUCCUCAUUUGUUCAUCUGUGACAACAUCACCUUCUAAAAGAACUAAUGAUUUAAAUGAGUGUUUUCUUGGGUAGACAAUAAUAUCAUAGUACUCAGGCAAAAUAGUAAUUUCUAUAAAUUCUUUUAGUUGAAUGGGAUUUUAAAAGUGUGACAUUGUCCCAUGACAUUCUCACUGGAAAAUUCUGACUGAAACAGUAGUCAAAUAGGUAUUGUGCCUUAGAUGAUGUUUCCGCUGCCUAAACCCUAUUGGCAUUUGAAAAGGAAAAUGUCAUUAUUUACAUUGUAUUUACACACUAAGUCACCAAUUAAGGAAAAGCAGUCAUUACAUAAAUAAAUUACUAAAAUCACAGAAA
ensembl:lncRNA